rnacentral:rRNA from 1 species
UUGAGAAAGAGUUUGAUCGCCCAGCUCCGGGUGAACGCUGGCGGCGAGGCCUAACACAUACAGAAUCGAACGGUAACAGGAAGCAGCUUGCUGUUUUUGCUGACGUGGCGGACGGUGGUAUGCAGGAAACUGCCUGAUGGAGGGGAUAACUACUGGAAACGGUGGCUAAUACACGCAUGGCGUCGCAAGACAAGAGGGGACACCUUCGGGCCUCUUACAAUCAGAUAUUGCUUGAGUAGUGGCUUGUUGGUGAGGUAACGGCUCACUGGGCGGCAGCUGGUCUGAGAGGAUGACGAAAGCCGCUGGAACUGCUGAGACACGGUCCAGACUCCACGGGGCAGCAGUGGGGAAAUGACGCAAUGGGCGCAAGCCUGAUGCAGCGCCAUACCGCGUGUAUGAGAAGAAGGCCUUCGGUUUGUAAAGUACUUUUCAGCGAGGGAGGAAGGUGUUGUGGUUAACAACACAGCAAUUGACGAUUACACCGCAGAAGCUGUGUAAUACGGAGGGUGCAAAGCGUUAAUCAGAUACUGGGCGUAAAGCGCACGCAGGCGGUCUGUCCAGAGUCGGAUGUGUGAAAUCCCCGAGGCUCCAGCACGGGAACUGCAUUCGAAGCGGCGAGCGAGGUGUAUGAGGGGUAGGAAUUCCGGAGUGUAGCGGUGAAAUGCGUAAAGUUGGAGGGAAGGCCACCGGUGGCGAGGCAUUUGGACAAGACUGACGCUCCGGAGUGCAGCGUGGGAGCAAACAGAGAUUAGAUACCACAGUAGUCACGCCGUAAACGACAAUACUUGGAGAGGUUUAUUAUGCCCUUGAGGUGGCAACUUCCAGGAGCUAACGCGUUAAGUAGACCGCACGGGAGUACGGCAGGUUAAAACCAAAUGAAUUGACGGGGGGCCCGCACCAAGCGGUGGAGCAUGUGGUUUAAUUCAGUACAACGCGAAGAACCUUACGGUCUUGACAUCCACAGAACUUCCAGAGAUGGACUGGUGCCUUCCGGGAGCACCAGUGAGGACAGGUGCUGCAUGGCUGUCGUCAGCUUUCGUGUUGUGAAGCGUAUUUGGGUUAAGUCCGCAACGAGCGCAGCCCUUAUCACGCUGUUGCCAGCGGUUAGGUCGGGAACUCAAAGGGAGCUGCCAGUGAUAAACUGGAGGAAGGUGGGGAUGACACGUCAAGUCAUCAUGGCCUGCGACGGGGGCUACACGUGCUACAAUGGCGCAUACAAAGAGAAGCGACACUCGCGAGAGCAGCGAGGACUCAUAAGUGCGUCAAAAUGGUCGGAUUGGAGUCUGCAGCUCGACUCCAUGGUCGGAAUCGCUGGUAAUCGUGGAUCAGGGAAUGCCGCGGUGAGAUACGUUCCGGGCGCUUGUACACACCGCCCGUCACCAUGGGAGUGGGUUGCAAAGUAGGUAGCUUAACCUUCGGGAGGGCGCGCACCACUUUGUGAUUCGCCUUGACUGGGGUGAGAAGUCAUGGCUAAAAGGCCAACCGUAGGGAACCUGCGGUUGGAUCACCUCCCUU